UCGGUUGCCCGGCCGGGGACCCGAGCCGAAAAGUUAUCGUCAGAAUGUCGGGCAAAGACCGAAUUGAAAUCUUUCCCUCGCGAAUGGCACAGACCAUCAUGAAGGCUCGUUUAAAGGGAGCACAGACAGGUCGAAACCUCCUGAAGAAAAAAUCUGAUGCCUUAACUCUUCGAUUUCGACAGAUCCUAAAGAAGAUAAUAGAGGUAGAAUGAACUUUUCUUAGAAUAGUAUUUAUUUUAGAAAAAUCCAGCAUGGCCCUUGGCAUUUUUUUUUUUGUUGUUGUUAUUUUAAUUAAUUUUUUUCUUUCAAAAGUAAAAAUACCAUUAUAAGUUUAACAAGUGUCAAAUAUCAAAUAGUUCAUUUAAUAAAAUCCAAACUCUUUAAUCUUGCCUGCA
rnacentral:lncRNA from 1 species